rnacentral:rRNA from 1 species
GACGAACGCUGGCGGCGUGCUUAACACAUGCAAGUCGAACGAAGUGGCGAACGGGUGAGUAAUACGUGGGUAACCUGCCCUCCUUUUUGGGAUAAGCCUUGGAAACGGGGUCUAAUACCGAAUAAGGGGGGAUGGGCUCGGGGCCUAUCAGCUUGUGGGUGGGGUGAUGGCCUACCAAGGCGGUGACGGGUGGCCGGCCUGAGAGGGGGCCCGGGAACGUGUGUACUGAGAUCAGGCCCAGGGUCGUACGGGGGGCAGCAGUGGUGGCAAUGGGAGAAUGGGUGAAAGCCUGAUGCGGCGACGCCGCGGGGGGGAUGAAGGCUUUCGUGUUGUAAACCUCUUUCGCUAUGGAGCGGUUAGGUGGAGAAGAAGCGCCGGCUAACUACGUGCCAGCCGCCGCGGUAAUAC